AUUUUUUGGGGGAGGCAGCAGUGGGGAAUAUUGCACAAUGGGCGCAAGCCUGAUGCAGCGACGCCGCGUGAGGGAUGACGGCCUUCGGGUUGUAAACCUCUUUCAGUAGGGAAGAAGCGAAAGUGACGGUACCUGCAGAAGAAGCGCCGGCUAACUACGUGCCAGCAGCCGCGGUAAUACGUAGGGCGCAAGCGUUAUCCGGAAUUAUUGGGCGUAAAGAGCUUGUAGGCGGUUUGUCGCGUCUGCCGUGAAAGUCCGGGGCUCAACUCCGGAUCUGCGGUGGGUACGGGCAGACUAGAGUGAUGUAGGGGAGACUGGAAUUCCUGGUGUAGCGGUGAAAUGCGCAGAUAUCAGGAGGAACACCGAUGGCGAAGGCAGGUCUCUGGGCAUUAACUGACGCUGAGGAGCGAAAGCAUGGGGAGCGAACAGGAUUAGAUACCCUGGUAGUCCAUGCCGUAAACGUUGGGCACUAGGUGUGGGGGACAUUCCACGUUUUCCGCGCCGUAGCUAACGCAUUAAGUGCCCCGCCUGGGGAGUACGGCCGCAAGGCUAAAACUCAAAGGAAUUGACGGGGGCCCGCACAAGCGGCGGAGCAUGCGGAUUAGUUUGAUGCAACGCGAAGAACCUUACCAAGGCUUGACAUGAACCGGUAUACCUGGAGACCA
rnacentral:rRNA from 1 species